rnacentral:rRNA from 1 species
GACGUAGGGCGCAAGCGUUGUCCGGAUUUAUUGGGCGUAAAGAGCUCGUAGGCGGCUUGUUGCGUCGUCCGUGAAAACCCGCAGCUCAACUGCGGGCUUGCGGACGAUACGGGCAGGCUGGAGUUCGGUAGGGGAGACUGGAAUUCCUGGUGUAGCGGUGAAAUGCGCAGAUAUCAGGAGGAACACCGGUGGCGAAGGCGGAUCUCUGGGCCGAUACUGACGCUGAGGAGCGAAAGCGUGGGGAGCGAACAGG